rnacentral:rRNA from 1 species
CCACGGGAGGCACCAGUGGGGAAUAUUGCACAAUGGAGGAAACUCUGAUGCAGCAACGCCGCGUGGAGGAUGACACUUUUCGGAGCGUAAACUCCUUUUAUAUAGGAAGAAGAUGACGGUACUAUAUGAAUAAGCGCCGGCUAACCCCGUGCCAGCAGCCGCGGUAAUACGGAGGGCGCAAGCGUUACUCGGAAUCACUGGGCGUAAAGAGCGUGUAGGCGGAUUAAAAAGUCAGAAGUGAAAUCCUAUAGCUUAACUAUAGAACUGCUUCUGAAACUCUUAAUCUAGAAUAUGGGAGAGGUAGAUGGAAUUUCUGGUGUAGGGGUAAAAUCCGUAGAGAUCAGAAGGAAUACCGAUUGCGAAGGCGAUCUACUAGAACAUUAUUGACGCUGAGACGCGAAAGCGUGGGGAGCAAACAGGAUUAGAUACCCCCGUAGUC